rnacentral:misc_RNA from 1 species
AACGCACGAGACCUGCGGACCUGCGGAAGGAUCAUUAGUGAACGCCCUCACGGGCUUAUAACUACUCCAAACCUCUGUGAACCGUGCCCUUCGGGGCUAUUUUACAAACAUGGUGUAAUGAACGUCAUAUAUCAUAACAAAACAAAACUUUCAACAAUGGAUCUCU